GACGAACGCUGGCGGCGUGCCUAACACAUGCAAGUCGAACGGAACUGUUUUGAAAGAUUUCUUCGGAAUGAAUUUGAUUUAGUUUAGUGGCGGACGGGUGAGUAACGCGUUAGUAACCUGCCUUCAAGAGGGGAAUAACAUUCUGAAAAGAAUGCUAAUACCGCAUGACAUAUCGGAACCACAUGGUUUUGAUAUCAAAGAUUUUAUCGCUUGAAGAUGGACUCGCUUACGAUUAGUUAGUUGGUGAGGUAACGGCUCACCAAGACCGCGAUCGGUGGCCGGACUGAGAGGUUGAACGGCCACAUUGGGACUGAGACACGGCCCAGACUCCUACGGGAGGCAGCAGUGGGGGAUAUUGCGCAAUGGGGGCAACCCUGACGCAGCAACGCCGCGUGAAGGAUGAAGGUUUUCGGAUUGUAAACUUCUUUUAUUACGGCCGAAAAAUGACGGUACUUAAUGAAUAAGCUCCGGCUAACUACGUG
rnacentral:rRNA from 1 species